CGCGUAGGCGGGUGCUCAAGUCUGUGGUGAAAUCCUCCGGCUCAACCGGAGAACUGCCAUGGAUACUGGGUGUCUCGAGGGUGGUAGGGGUAUGCGGAACUAUCGGUGGAGCGGUGAAAUGCGUUGAUAUCGAUAGGAACUCCGGUGGCGAAGGCGGCAUACUGGACCACUUCUGACGCUGAGGCGCGAAAGCCAGGGAGCAAACG
rnacentral:rRNA from 1 species